GACGAACGCUGGCGGCGUGCUUAACACAUGCAAGUCGAACGGAAAGGCCCCUUUGGGGGUACUCGAGUGGCGAACGGGUGAGUAACACGUGAGUAACCUGCCCUUGACUUCGGGAUAACUUCAGGAAACGGGGGCUAAUACCGGAUAGGAAUCCUUGCUGCAUGGUGGGGGUUGGAAAGCUUCGGCGGUUUUGGAUGGACUCGCGGCUUAUCAGCUUGUUGGUGGGGUAGUGGCUUACCAAGGCUUUGACGGGUAGCCGGCCUGAGAGGGCGACCGGCCACAUUGGGACUGAGAUACGGCCCAGACUCCUACGGGAGGCAGCAGUGGGGAAUAUUGCACAAUGGGCGGAAGCCUGAUGCAGCAACGCCGCGUGCGGGAUGACGGCCUUCGGGUUGGAAACCGCUUUCAGCAGGGGCGAAGCUUGUGGUGACGGUACCUGCAGAAGAAGCACCGGCUAACUACGUG
rnacentral:rRNA from 1 species